GACGAACGCUGGCGGCGCGCCUAACACAUGCAAGUCGAACGAGCGAGAGAGAGCUUGCUUUCUCGAGCGAGUGGCGAACGGGUGAGUAACGCGUGAGGAACCUGCCUCAAAGAGGGGGACAACAGUUGGAAACGACUGCUAAUACCGCAUAAGCCCACAGGUCGGCAUCGACCAGAGGGAAAAGGAGCAAUCCGCUUUGAGAUGGCCUCGCGUCCGAUUAGCUAGUUGGUGAGGUAACGGCCCACCAAGGCGACGAUCGGUAGCCGGACUGAGAGGUUGAACGGCCACAUUGGGACUGAGACACGGCCCAGACUCCUACGGGAGGCAGCAGUGGGGAAUAUUGCACAAUGGGGGAAACCCUGAUGCAGCGACGCCGCGUGGAGGAAGAAGGUCUUCGGAUUGUAAACUCCUGUUGUUGAGGAAGAUAAUGACGGUACUCAACAAGGAAGUGACGGCUAACUACGUGCCAGCAGCCGCGGUAAAACGUAGGUCACAAGCGUUGUCCGGAAUUACUGGGUGUAAAGGGAGCGCAGGCGGGAAGACAAGUUGGAAGUGAAAUCUAUGGGCUCAACCCAUAAACUGCUUUCAAAACUGUUUUUCUUGAGUAGUGCAGAGGUAGGCGGAAUUCCCGGUGUAGCGGUGGAAUGCGUAGAUAUCGGGAGGAACACCAGUGGCGAAGGCGGCCUACUGGGCACCAACUGACGCUGAGGCUCGAAAGUGUGGGUAUCAAACAGG
rnacentral:rRNA from 1 species